GCCCGAGUGGUGAAAUCGGUAGACACAAGGGACUUGAACAAUUUGAGCCUUCGGGGGGAAACGCCCGAAGUGACGCCCGUCAAAGUCGGCGAACGCCCUGGAUGCCACGGCAUCCGAGCCAACGCCGAGCCAAGCCCGUCCGCCAUGGUCGGGAAGGUGUAGAGAGCAGACGGCGGGCACCUACGGCCGCAAGGCUAUGGUGAAGGCGUGCUCCAGCCCACGAACAGCGCCCGCGCUGGCGGCGAAAGCCGAAGUGGGAAGAAAAUCCCUCGCCGCAAGGCGUGCCGGUUCGAUUCCGGCCUCGGGCACCA
rnacentral:tRNA from 1 species